UACGUAGGGGGCAAGCGUUGUCCGGAAUCAUUGGGCGUAAAGAGCGCGUAGGCGGCCCAGUAAGUCCGCUCUGAAAGUCAGAGGCUCAACCUCUGAAUGCGGGUGGAUACUGCUGGGCUAGAGUCCGGAAGAGGCGAGUGGAAUUCCUGGUGUAGCGGCGAAAUGCGCAGAUAUCAGGAGGAACACCGAUGGCGAAGGCAGCUCGCUGGGACGGUACUGACGCUGAGGCGCGAAAGCGUGGGGAGCAAACAGG
rnacentral:rRNA from 1 species